AUUCUUUCCCAGAGGCAAUAUCGUAGCCUGUGAGGUUAAUCCGCGGCGCGAUCAUUGCUGAUUGAAUGCUGAUUUACCCAAUACUCAUGGUCAGUCGUGGGCUAGAGGUUAGGGGACUGGCCCUGUGACCGGAAGGUC
ensembl:snRNA U4 U4 spliceosomal RNA